GCUGAAGACAUAUCGGCCUGAAUGCCCCGAUCCCAACAUAACUUGGAAGCUACACAGAAAUGAGCCUGGUUAGUACUUCGGUGGGAGAUCUCCAACAGACAUUGGAUGUUUUAGGUU
rnacentral:rRNA from 1 species